UGAUCGACAAUUCGAAAAAAACCCUUUUCGCCAGAUUUUCUUUUGUUUUCUAUCACUAAUCUAACCAAUCGAACCUGGAAAUGAAUUGUUUUUACCAACACCAGAAUUUUUUAUGAAAAAACAAUGUAAGUCAGAUGUUUCGACACUGUCAUCCAAAUAAAAUAAUAUAACUACAGGACCUUUGAUAAUAAUUAAAGACAAAAAGAUUAAAUCAGAUGAUUGACAAUCAGAAGAUAAUUGUCAAAAGACUUCAGUACCUGCGACAAGUGUUCGUAAAAUCCAUUGUUACAUGAGUUCUAGAUGAUUCGCAAGGUGAAAAUUAGACAGAAGUGUCACAUUAUUAUAAUCUACAAACAUUGAAAUUGUGUCGCUAAACGUAAUCAAAUUAUUGAUUAGUUCAAUUGUCGAUAUUUAAAUUCAGUAAAUUUUGAUUGAAGCAGGAACCCAUUUACUUUCACUUUACCGGUUUCAAGUGGUCAAUCAACCUUUCCCUUAACCAUCAUUUUCAACUACUCCAAUCAUUUAUUCACCAUUGGAUGACCAUUUAUCAGCAUGACAGUUAACUUGUCUGAGAGUCCAAUUUAAUUGAAUUGGUUUGGAGGGCAUCUAUGGAACCAUGGAAAAUAAAUCCUAUUAAGGAACAGAUUCAACCAUUUUAGCUGAAAAAACUUAAUUGCAACUUUUAGAUUAAUCUAGUCUUUUCAACACUUUUCAUGAAAUGAAUGUCAAUCUUAAAAGGUAGCUACAAAAAAAUAUGAAGAUGCGAAUCAAAUGUGAGUCUAACAAAGUGAAAGUGAAGCUAAUCCAAAUUAAAAGUUGAACUCUUUGUAUCCAAUUUUGUUUGUUAAUAAACACUGAUUUAUAACAUUGAACUUAGCAACGGCCAAAAACGAGACAAGUUGGUAUCCAAAUUUUUAGCUUAUCUUUCAACUUGUCAGUUGAACAAUCAAGAGAAGGCAAUUUACCUCGCUCAGUCACCAUACAGUCAGGUUUCAACCGAUGACGAGUCAACUUAUUCUCAAUGUAAAAUAAAAAUGGCAGCCUCAAUAAUUUUACUUAAAAAUCAACCAAUGAGAUCUUCCUUUCGUUAGAAAUAAUCUUUCUGGCAAUCUUUUCUUUUCUCGGCAACACAUUUUUUUAACAAAUGGCAAGUUGAUCUUGCAGUCAUCUUUAGAUUGAUAUCUUCAAAGACAUUCAAAUAAAUAACUUCCCAGCCUUAUUGUCAGCUAAUCAACUGUUAACCGUGGAAUUAAUUAAUUUCUAACCAAAGGAAACCAAAAAGCAAUCAAAUUCAAAAUCAUGCUUUCAUCUAGACAAUUUUUCCUUCAACAAUACAUAUUUUAUCAUCAUUAAUCUUUGGUUUCAUCAUUUGGCUAAUCAUCUCAUUGUUACCUACCAAACAUUUUCUUGGUCCUGUCUUCAUUCGUUAAUCACUUGAUAUGGAUUUGUAAGCUCAUAAGUAAAUUAUCACAGUGGACAACUCAACUGUCAGUCAACUAUAAAUUAACUGUCAGUGUUAACAUAUGUUAACAAAUCAAAUCAUCAUCAUUAUAAUCAACAUCUUAAACACGCGACAUCUUAACCAAAAAAAAGUAGAAACCCAAAGACGAUGAUUAAUUUCAACAUCUCACCAGGAUUCUGUUGUGAUUAAACUGCUAAUCACUAUUGAGGGACACCAAGGAGGUCUUAAUCGUGAUUAGCAAAGAACCUUGCCAGCCAUUCUAUUCUUAAUCUUGAAUUAAACCCAAAUGUUGCUUUCAUUUGGUCAAAAAUCGUUAUCCAAUAUAACUAUUAUAAUAUUCAAACCAAGGAUCAUCUUCAACUUGCCUCAUCAAAUUAUCAAAUUGAAACACUAUUACAAUUGGCUGAAAAUCAAAUUAACUUCCCAUUAAUUCUGUUAACAUCGUUCUGGUUAAAACAACAGAUAAUCAAAAAGUAUUGAUACAAUCAAUUUUUUGAAAGAAAUUAAAGGUUAGAUACAUUGAUUAAAUACUAAGCCCAGUUAAGAAAACAAUUUCAAGCAUUAAUUGUUAAUCGGGUGUGGACAACUGAUUAAAUAUAUUCAUUAACGAGGUCAGGAUUUUAA